CUGCUGUCCUGGCGCAGUGGGGAGGAGGGCAGGCCUGGGGGCUGGACAGCAGCAGGGCCAGGGUGGUCUAAGCAAGGGGAGACGCGCCUCUGCUUCCUGCGACCUUGGCGGUGAGCCUGGGGACAGGGGUGAGGCCAGAGACGGACGGACGCAGGGGCCCGGCCCAAGGCGAGGCAGAACAGCGGCACUGAGGCAGAAAGGAAGAGGGCGGUGUGUUCACCCGCAGCCCAAUCCAUCACUCAGCAACUCCUAGACGCUGGUAGAAAGUUCCUCCGAGGAGCCUGCCAUCCAGUCGUGCGUGCAGGGACCAUCGCUCCUGGCUGUGGCCAAGCAGGACUGGGAAGAGCCCCCGUGGCCCCUGCAGGUCAGGCCGCUGCACCCCCUACAUCCGAUCCACCUCGCUGCCCAAGCGGGACAGGUUAUUUUUGUUCCUUCAGAUUUUGCCAGUGCCUUUGCACCCCUCUCCGGGAGUUACUCAGUUACCAAUGUUGGUUUUCUAUUUCCAGAGCAAAGGCAGGUCCUCCCCUCCGCGGCUUUCUCCACCCGAGCGGGGGCUGGGCCUCUGCCUUCCAUCCAAGCCUGGGUCCAGGUCCCACAGCCGCAGCUCCCUCGCCUUUGUGGAGGAAGACGGGGGCACCUGAGGGAGAGGGUGCCUCAGCUGUCUUUCAUAUCUUCCCCUGACCCCUAACCCCACCCUGCUUUCUCCUGGACCAUUCCCAUCAGCAUGCUCUACCUCUCAUCUCUAAAAGUAUCCCUCUCCAGGAUCCGUCUUUGCCAGUCCAUCGCGCUGACCCUUCCACAGCCGCCUCCUCACAAGAGCAGGGCCCCUUGCUGCCUCCACUUCCUCCCCCAGCCCCAGCCACUGCUUCACUGCAGCUGUUCAUAUGAAACUCGGCCUGAGGAGAGCUUCUGUGCCUCCCAUGUCCUCUCCCAGCAGCCCAGCCUCAGCUGACUACCCUCCGGAGGCCCUCUCUUCUCCCUUCUGCUUCCCCAUGCGGCGUUGUCCUUCUGGUUCCUUCUUGCCUUGUCUGUGAUUCCUUCUUGCCUUGUCUGUGAUUCCUUCUCAGGCCUCUUGGCAGGUUUCUCUUCAAAGUGACUGGAAAGCUAGUGCCACGUGGACUUGGUCCUGCCAUCCCCUCUGCUGUGUUUCUGUGGUUUAGACACCAUCUGUAUGGUGGCAAACCCCAUUCUUCCUCUGAGUUCUGACCCCCAGAAGCAGUUCCCUUGAACACUUCUGUUGGAGGCCUCGCGGACAUUUCGACUUAAUGCAUCCAUGAAGUCCUCUCUUACCUGGACUCCACAGUGGCCUCAUGACUGGCCUGCCUGCUGCCAACCCUCACCUCCUCCAUUUCAAUCUCCAGGAAGUAUGAAGAAUUGUCUUUUUGGGAGGAUCACUUGAGGCCAGGACUUUGAGACCAGCCUGGGUAACAUAGCUUGACCUCAUCUAUUAAAAAAAAAAAUCAGCCAGGUGUGGUGGCAUGCACCUGUCAUCUCAGCUACUCGGGAGGCUGAGGUGGGUGGAUCACUUAAGCCUGGGAGGUCCAGGCUGCAGUGAGCUGAGACUGCACCACUGCACUCCAGCCUGGGUGACAGAGUAAGACCCUGUCUCAAACAAACAAACAAACAAACAACCAGAACUGUCUUUUAAUAGCAUUCGGUUCAUGAUAUCUUUUCUCCAGAAGCUUUCAGUGUGCCCAUGCAUGUGUGCUGUGUGUGUGCAUAUGUGCACAUGCAUAUGUGUGUGUGUUUGGAAUGUUACCAUAGCCUGUGAGGCCCUGAGUAAUUCCACACUUUUCCCAUUUUCCCAGCCUUAUCUCAUACCCCUUAUCCUUGGCCAGGUGCUUGAGUCUUUCAGCUCCCACUAGUCAAACUUCUUUUCCUACCAUAGGGCCUAGAAUCCCAUCCUCUCCCAGCGUGUGCAUGCAUGCGCGCGCGCACACACACACACACACACUGAGCUGGCCCCAUUUUCAUUCUUCACAUCCACCUGAGUGUCAUCUCUGCAGAGAAGUUUUCCUCACUGCCCUGUCCAAACCAGCCCUCCUCUUCUAAUUUCUAUUUCAGUCCUCUAUUUGAUUUCUUUUCAUAAUAGCAUGGAUUGUACUUUGUAAUAAUUUUAUUUAUUUGUUUCUUCACCUUCACCUUUGCUGUUCACUCCAGAAUGUAAACUCCACAGGGCAGGGGCUAUGUCUGAUGUUUCCAUCAUUGUAACCCCAAUGCUUAGCAGACGGCUUGGCACUUGGUAGAUGUGCAAUAAAAAUGUGUUGGAUGAGUCAGUGAAUAAAUGAAUGAAUGGUCCCAGUUGCUAAGGUCAUUUAGGUUCCAGUGGGACUGGAAGACAGGUAUGGAGGAAGGGAAGACCAUGGUUGGUAGAAAGGCACUGCCUAGGUAGGCUUUCC
rnacentral:lncRNA from 1 species